rnacentral:rRNA from 1 species
UUUCGAAUUAUUUACAAUGGGGGAAACCCUGAUAGUGCAACGCCGCGUGAGGGAUGAAGGUCUUCGGAUUGUAAACCUCUGUCACCGAUCAUUAAACGUGCAGUGAUAACACCACUGUGCCUGAAAAGUCGGAGAGGAAGCAGUGGCUAACUCCGUGCCAGCAGCCGCGGUAAUACGGAGACUGCAAGCGUUACUCGGAAUCACUGGGCGUAAAGGGUGCGUAGGUGGCAGUGCGUGUCAGGUGUGAAAUACCGGGGCUUAACUCCGGGACUGCGCCUGAAACUGCACGGCUAGAGUGUCGGAGGGGCAGGCGGAAUUCCAGGAGUAGCGGUGAAAUGCGUAGAUAUCUGGAGGAACACCAAAGGCGAAGGCAGCCUGCUGGACGACAACUGACGCUGAG